rnacentral:tRNA from 3 species
GCUCAUAUGGCGUAAUUGGUAGGCGCGGGGGAUUUAAAAUCCCUUGAUUGAAAAAUCGUUCGAGUUCGAGUCUCGAUAUGAGCACCA